CCCAUUUGUACCAUUAUAAUAUUAUUACUUUUAUGUCAAUUGUUGCUAUUCUUAUAUUGCUGUUGUUAUUGCUACAUGUAGUAGCUGUACUUCUACUGCUUAACUUCUGCUGCUAUCAUUUUAAUAUUUAUAUAUAAAAAUGAUAGCAUUUUAAUAUUGCUAUCAGUGACACUCGGGGCAACCCCCCUCCUCCGCAGCCCCA
rnacentral:lncRNA from 1 species